rnacentral:tRNA from 4 species
AGGGCAGUGGCUCAAUUGGUAGAGCACCGGUCUCCAAAACCGGCGGUUGGGGGUUCAAGUCCCUCCUGCCCUGCCA